UACAGAGGGGGCAAGCGUUGUUCGGAAUUACUGGGCGUAAAGGGCGCGUAGGCGGCCUGUUAAGUCGAACGUGAAAUCCCCGGGCUCAACCCGGGAACUGCGUCCGAUACUGGCAGGCUUGAAUCCGGGAGAGGGAUGCGGAAUUCCAGGUGUAGCGGUGAAAUGCGCAGAUAUCAGGAGGAACACCGAUGGCGAAGGCAGUUCUCUGGGCCGUAACUGACGCUGAGGAGCGAAAGCGUGGGGAGCGAACAGG
rnacentral:rRNA from 1 species